AUUGAACGCUGGCGGCGUGCCUAACACAUGCAAGUCGAGCGGUAACAGGUGUAGCAAUACAUGCUGACGAGCGGCGAACGGGUGAGUAAUGCUUCGGAAUCUACCUUAUGGUGGGGAAUAACUAGCCGAAAGGUUAGCUAAUACCGCAUACGUCCUACGGGAGAAAGCAGGGGAUCGCAAGACCUUGCGCCAAAAGAUGAGCCGAAGUCGGAUUAGCUAGUUGGUAGGGUAACGGCCUACCAAGGCGACGAUCCGUAGCUGGUCUAGGAGGACGACCACACACACUGGGACUGAGACACGGCCCAGAAUCCUACGGGAGGCAGCAGUGGGGAAUAUUGGACAAUGGGGGAAACCCUGAUCCAGCGACGCCGCGUGUGUGAAGAAGGCCUGCGGGUUGUAAAGCACUUUUAGUGGGGAUGAAAUGUGCAGGGUUAAUACCUCUGCAUUUUGACCUAACCCACAGAAAAAGCACCGGCUAACUCUGUGCCAGCAGCCGCCGUAA
rnacentral:rRNA from 1 species